GGAAGGAUCAUUAAACAUUUUUAGGCCGUAACAAGCCUUAAACCUUAUUUACACGUACCUCCACAUUCUCCUUCGGCGGGGUAACGCCCGCCGUCGGAACCACCAAAACCCCCUUGCAUCCAGCGUAAACCAGUUCAGACAAAAACACAAUCGUUACAACUUUCAACAAUGGAUCUCUUGGCUCUGGCAUCGAUGAAGAACGCAGCGAAAUGCGAUAAGUAGUGUGAAUUGCAGAAUUCAGUGAAUCAUCGAAUCUUUGAACGCACAUUGCGCCCCUUGGUAUUCCAUGGGGCAUGCCUGUUCGAGCGUCAUCUACACCCUCAAGCUCUGCUUGGUGUUGGGCGUCUGUCCCGCCUCCGCGCGCGGACUCGCCCCAAAUCCAUUGGCAGCGACCCUCGCCCCCUCCCGCGCAGCACAUUGCGCUUCUCGAGGGCGGCUCCGGGCCCGCGACCCAUCGAAGAUGACCACCGUCUUUUGACCUCGGAUCAGGUAGGGAUACCCGCUGAACUUAAGCAUAUCAAUAAGCGGAGGAAAAGAAACCAACAGGGAUUGCCUCAGUAACGGCGAGUGAAGCGGCAACAGCUCAAAUUUGAAAUCUGGCCCCCUACGGGGGUCCGAGUUGUAAUUUGCAGAGGGUGCUUUGGCAUGGGCGGCGGUCUAAGUUCCUUGGAACAGGACAUCGCAGAGGGUGAGAAUCCCGUACGUGGGCGCCCGCCUUUGCCGUGUAAAGCCCCUUCGACGAGUCGAGUUGUUUGGGAAUGCAGCUCUAAAUGGGAGGUAAAUUUCUUCUAAAGCUAAAUACCGGCCAGAGACCGAUAGCGCACAAGUAGAGUGAUCGAAAGAUGAAAAGUACUUUGGAAAGAGAGUCAAACAGCACGUGAAAUUGUUGAAAGGGAAGCGCUUGCAGCCAGACGUGCUCGCGGUUGCUCACCCAGGCUCCCGCCUGGGGCACUCUUCCGCGGGCAGGCCAGCAUCGGUUUGGGCGGUCGGAUAAAGGCCUCUGUCAAGUAUCUUCCUCCGGGUUGACCUUAUAGGGGAGGCGCAAUGCGACCAGCCCGGACCGAGGUCCGCGCAUCUGCUAGGAUGCUGGCGUAAUGGCUGUAAGCGGCCCGUCUUGAAACACGGACCAAGGAGUCUAACAUCUAUGCGAGUGUUUGGGUGUCAAGCCCGGGCGCGCAAUGAAAGUGAACGGAGGUGGGAACCCUUCGGGGUGCACCAUCGACCGAUCCUGAUGUCUUCGGAUGGAUUUGAGUAAGAGCAUAGCUGUUGGGACCCGAAAGAUGGUGAACUAUGCUUGAAUAGGGUGAAGCCAGAGGAAACUCUGGUGGAGGCUCGCAGCGGUUCUGACGUGCAAAUCGAUCGUCAAAUUUGGGCAUAGGGGCGAAAGACUAAUCGAACCAUCUAGUAGCUGGUUCCUGC
rnacentral:misc_RNA from 1 species